GAGGCAUCAAAGGGACAUUCACAAAGAAAUAGUUCCAACUAAUGUUUGUGUUGAUGAGACGAAGCAGUGGCGGCGGAACAGGGGGGGCUAGGGGGGCUAAAGCCCCCCCCCAGAAGUAAAAGUGGGGGGGCUAAGCCCCCCCAGAAAAUUUUGUUUUCUCUGGAAAAAUUUUGAUAAUUAAGGAAAAAUGUAGGUUAUUUUUGGAAAAUUUAGG